UUCCUCGGGAUCCAGGGGCUCUUCUUUGACAUGUACAGGAUGCCUGGAAAGACAAAAGAAGGUUCACCGUGGGGACUUCCCAAUGCAAGCAUCAAGAUCCAGGACCGGAUGCAUAAUUUGCAGAGCCCAGUGCAGAGUGAACAUGUGUCUGAAAAAGUCGUUGAGGAUUUCAAGACGGAAACAGCUGAGCUUAUUAAAACUUUUAAGUGUGGGAUCCUGCGUGACUCCAUACAUCGAGUUGCCUGGGAAGUCGGCUCCGGAUAAAUUUCUAGGAAUAAAAUUGUUGGAGCAGAGGCGAAAACGUCUUACGGUUCUUAUGAUUCAGUGUGAUAUUAACUGCCAAAGAAGCUUUAUCAAUUUAGACUCAACCUCAUCAGCACCAAGCACUGCUUUCUAAGAACAUCGUGCUGCUGAGCAGACUCGGACAAAUGUUUUGCCCGGCAGAACAAAACACAAUCCCGCCACCCC